CUACCCUUGACAUGCCAGGAACUUUCCAGAGAUGGAUUGGUGCCCGAAAGGGAACCUGGACACAGGUGCUGCAUGGCUGUCGUCAGCUCGUGUCGUGAGAUGUUGGGUUAAGUCCCGCAACGAGCGCAACCCUUGUCAUUAAUUGCCAUCAUUUAGUUGGGCACUUUAAUGAGACUGCCGGUGAUAAACCGGAGGAAGGUGGGGAUGACGUCAAGUCCUCAUGGCCCUUAUGGGUAGGGCUUCACACGUAAUACAAUGGUCGGUACAGAGGGUCGCCAACCCGCGAGGGGGAGCCAAUCUCAGAAAGCCGAUCGUAGUCCGGAUUGUUCUCUGCAACUCGAGAGCAUGAAGUCGGAAUCGCUAGUAACCGCGGAUCAGCAUGUCGCGGUGAAUACGUUCC
rnacentral:rRNA from 1 species